ACCUCUGUGUGUUUGCAUCUUUCUUAUCAGGAUGGUGUCACAAGGCCACAACCACUAGCUGUAAGCGAGGUUGGGAAAGCCUCUCUGAUGGAGUUGGAUUAAUACCCACUGGGAUCACCACCAGAAGAAACCAAAGAAUGAAAACAGCAACUACUAAUGCCAGGAGGACAGAGCCCAAAUAAGAAGAAACUCCAUGUAGAAUGAAAGCUGCAGGAUGCUCUUUUUACCUUCCAUCUAUGGGAUUUGGUCAGCCUUACAAAAAAGACCGGGGGAUAGUAAUACUCUUGGAGAGACGAAGAAAGAGUGGGCAGAUGGAAGGUGCAGGUAUGGAUUGGUGAUGAUCCUGCCCAGCCAGAGAUUUAAACAUGUAAACUUGGAGAAGAUGGGCCUGGAACUGCAAUUUGGAGGAGGAGUGCUCUUUGGUGGAGAGGAGUUGUAAAUGUCAGUGUGUGCCUAACAGUAGGAAACUGAGGAGAGAGGAUCAUAUUUGGUCUAGAAGUGUUCAAGCGAGAGAGAAGAAUGAGUGGCAGACUUGAAAACCCUCCCUAUGGAACUCAGCUAGUCUCCCUGCCUGUGCACUGUGGUGUUCUCAUUGUUCAGGUCUCAUCGUCUCUGGCUCUGACUUUCCCUUGCUUGGGGUCCCUUACACUUUGGCAGACCCUCAGGUGGACUCUCACACGAAUCCCACAUGUAUUCCAGACAUUGUUUUCUCAUAAGUCCAGUCUCUACUUUUAGUCUCUCGGGUAUUGGCCACAGUUUCUGGUCUGCCUAGAAUUUCUCAGCAUGGCUAUGCAUGUCCUCAUUAUACACAUUACUUUAGGAUGUGUAAGUGUGUAGACAUUUCACAUGCAUGCACAUAUACAUUAUUUUGGUGAAGGAUAUAAGGAGUUUGCAGUGUGUACCCAGUUCUCUAUUUUGAAACUGUGAGUCCUUUAAUUUAGAUGCCUUUUCUAUUAUACUGUGGAAAAUGAUGAAGUAAAACAAGUGGGAUGGAGGAGAGGAUAGGGCAGAAAAUAAGUAGGUGCAUCACAGUAAGUGAACUGAAGAGUUCCCACUUCUAUCAGUGGUCUCACAAAGAGGUGGUUUUAUUCUUAAUAAAGCAGUAUUUUAUCAUUAUAAAGAAUCAUAGAAUAUCAAGUUAUUUAACAAAAUCU
rnacentral:lncRNA from 1 species